rnacentral:lncRNA from 1 species
CAUUACAAACAAAUCGUAUCAACUACAGAUUUGGAAGAAAAAAAAUGUAUACCGUUAGACAGGAUUAUAUUUGACCAUUUUGACACAUUCUGAACAAAAUGUAUCGAAAAAGAAUUUUGACUAAAUAUUAUCUAUUUUGACUGGAACUAAAUAUUGUCGGUAGACAAAACAACUGUGCAUAAUCUCGACAAGUAUAUGAUCCAAUAGAAAAGGGAUUGAAACUGGGUGGCUGCAUU